UACGUAGGGGGCAAGCGUUGUCCGGAAUCAUUGGGCGUAAAGCGCGUGUAGGCGGCUCGGUAAGUCUGCUGUGAAAGUCCAGGGCUCAACCCUGGGAUGCCGGUGGAUACUGUCGAGCUCGAGUCCGGAAGAGGCGAGUGGAAUUCCCGGUGUAGCGGUGAAAUGCGCAGAUAUCGGGAGGAACACCAAUGGCGAAGGCAGCUCGCUGGGACGGUACUGACGCUGAGGCGCGAAAGCGUGGGGAGCAAACAGG
rnacentral:rRNA from 1 species